GGGUGAUUAGCGCAGCUGGGAGAGCACCACCCUUACAAGGAGGGGGUCGGCGGUUCGAUCCCGUCAUCACCCACCA
rnacentral:tRNA from 1 species